GAUGGGCAUGCGUGACAUUAGCUAGUUGGUGAGGUAACGGCCCACCAAGGCAACGAUGUCUAGGGGUCCUGAGAGGGUUAACCCCCACACUGGUACUGAGACACGGACCAGACUCCUACGGGAGGCAGCAGUAAGGAAUAUUGGGCAAUGGACGCAAGUCUGACCCAGCCAUGCCGCGUGAAGGAUGAAUGUCCUAUGGAUUGUAAACUUCUUUUAUGCAGGAAAAACAUCCCGGUCGUGAACCGGGACUGAUGGUACUGUAUGAAUAAGCAUCGGCUAACUCCGUGCCAGCAGCCGCGGUAAUACGGAGGAUGCAAGCGUUAUCCGGAUUCAUUGGGUUUAAAGGGUGCGCAGGCGGAAUAAUAAGUCAGUGGUGAAAUCUCCCGGCUCAACCGGGAAACUGCCAUUGAUACUGUUGUUCUUGAGUACAGUUGAAGUGGGCGGAAUGUGUCAUGUAGCGGUGAAAUGCUUAGAUAUGACACAGAACACCGAUAGCGAAGGCAGCUCACUAAGCUGUAACUGACGCUCAUGCACGAAAGCGUGGGGAUCAAACAGGAUUAGAU
rnacentral:rRNA from 1 species